GCGAGAGUGGUGGAAUUGGCAGACACGCAGGAUUCAGGUUCCUGUGUCCAUUGCGGACGUGGGGGUUCGAAUCCCCCCUCUCGCA
rnacentral:tRNA from 1 species